GGAUAAGCCUGGGAAACUGGGUCUAAUACCAGAUAGGACCACGUCUUGGAUGGUGUGGUGGAAAGUUUUUUCGGUGUGGGAUGAGCUCGCGGCCUAUCAGCUUGUUGGUGGGGUAAUGGCCUACCAAGGCGUCGACGGGUAGCCGGCCUGAGAGGGUGUACGGCCACAUUGGGACUGAGAUACGGCCCAGACUCCUACGGGAGGCAGCAGUGGGGAAUAUUGCACAAUGGGCGCAAGCCUGAUGCAGCGACGCCGCGUGGGGGAUGACGGCCUUCGGGUUGUAAACUCCUUUCGCCAGGGACGAAGCGUAAGUGACGGUACCUGGAUAAGAAGCACCGGCUAACUACGUGCCAGCAGCCGCGGUAAUACGUAGGGUGCGAGCGUUGUCCGGAAUUACUGGGCGUAAAGAGCUCGUAGGUGGUUUGUCGCGUCGUUUGUGUAAUACCGCAGCUUAACUGCGGGGUUGCAGGCGAUACGGGCAUAACUUGAGUGCUGUAGGGGAGACUGGAAUUCCUGGUGUAGCGGUGGAAUGCGCAGAUAUCAGGAGGAACACCGAUGGCGAAGGCAG
rnacentral:rRNA from 1 species